CAAUUUGAAAUACACACAAAAAUCAAUCAAAAAUGCUGCGAACAAGUCACUGAAGCAGCACGGGCAAUAAUUGGCAAAAAAAAAAUUGAAAAAAGAAGAAAAGCAAAGUCAAAAUGUGUUUAUAAAAUAAAAUCAAAAACCGCAAAUGAAAUUAGCGUUGAGCUGGGAAGGAAAGAGAGCGGGUGUUAAGCAGUAAACAGGAAAAUUGAAGGGCGUUGCUGCCAGGCCAACACAUGUAUCUAGACGCAAUUUAGUGGCCAUAAGUCAGUCAGAGGUCGUGGCUUGUUUAGUACGUGUAUCUCGCAGAUAAACGCCGAUUAUGCGGCUAUUUUUAUGCGGCGGCAAAAGCGACUGAGAAACGAAAAUAAAGAAACAAAAGAAUAGAGUCGAAAACCAGUUUUGUGGCCACUUUUGUAAUCAACGUUUAAUUGAAAAUUGAGCCCAGCACUUUGCCAAAUCAAAAACAUACAUUCAAGAGAAUAAAUAAAGCUGUUGGCUGUUUGCUUCUCGCCCACACUUUAAAUUGGGCCCCCGCAUUAUCAACUUGAGUUUUGUGGCCAAAAAGUAGCCAAAUGUUUUGGCCCGAGGGCAGCGCCGGCAAUUAACUGAGAGUAAUUGCAGUCGUAAAUUGAUUUGUCAUUGCAUUUAAAAUCUGAAUCGAUUAAUCUUCAAAUCAAAAUCUAUGAAUCUAUAAAUAAAUGUUUAUUAAGGCAGCCAACUCUCUUUUUUUCUCUGUCCGUCCGUCUGUCGAAUAGAAAUUUCAUGCAAAUUCUUUGAUAUCACGGCAAAGUGGAACAAAUGUCGUCUAAACCAUAUUUCAGCACUUUUACGCGAAUUGUGAAAGUGUCGAAAUCGAACUGGAAUCACAGCCACGCCACAGCAUGCCACCUCAGAUCAGCUCAGACCACCGCAUACCACACCUCUCCGCACCCCACCGCACACACACCUUUCCACCCGCACG